UACAGAGGGUGCGAGCGUUGUCCGGAAUCACUGGGCGUAAAGGGUGCGUAGGUGGCUUGGUAAGCGUGUGGUGAAAGCUCGGGGCUCAACCCCGAGUCGGCCGUGCGAACUGUUUUGCUUGAGCACUGUAGAGGCAGGCGGAAUUCCGGGUGUAGCGGUGGAAUGCGUAGAGAUCCGGAAGAACACCGGUGGCGAAGGCGGCCUGCUGGGCAGUAGCUGACACUGAGGCGCGACAGCGUGGGGAGCAAACAGG
rnacentral:rRNA from 1 species